GAAGUGGCAGGGAGCAGAGCGUUACUGGGUCUAUACGUUGUGUAAUAGAACUAACCUGUAACUGUCUGUUUUUGUGUUUUGCUUUUUUUACUUAUAUAGGCCAAAGCCUCCUGAUAUUAACUGCACUGAUCAGAUGGGAAAUACACCACUACAUUGUGCAGCAUACCGUGCCCACAGGCACUGUGCCUUAAAACUUCUAAAAAAUGGUGCAGACUCUAAAAUCAGAAACAAAAAUUCCCAGACACCAUUUGAUCUAGCACAAGGUGCAGAAAUGAAACUGAUACUUGGAGGAAGCCUUGAAAAGGUAAUCAACAAACGCCUGAAACGAUAUGAAGGUCUCCUGUGGAUGGUACGUCCUCUUUUCCGUUUUUUGUAAUAUGUAAAACAACAUGAAUUGUUUUUUCCAAAUCUCUCCUUGAAGAUUGUCUUCUGUUCUUGAGAGGGGGCUGAUAGAUGAGACUUAUCAGUGAUACCUUAACUGUUACAUUUAUAAUCCAUUUCCCAACCUAAUCCUAGGACAGGAAGGCUAGUCCGAGAUUCAAAAUUUCUGGGUGUAAUACCUGGGUGUAGAUUCCCUGUGACAUUGGGAAAAAUCUCCCUUCAUCUGCCUUGUCACACUUCACAUCUGUACAAUGGGGAUAGUACUUGCCUACUUUUAAAGAUCAACUUGAUUGAUAACUGAGCAGUGCUUCUACUACAGUUUUGAAGGCCACAUAAGUAUCUAGAUAAUCUAAUUGCUGGUUCACUGCAGUUCAGCAUGAUCCAUUGGAUAGAUCCUAUUCCCAAAUCCUUGAAAACUGAACAGCAAAGAAGAUGGUAAUAAUUAAAAAAAUGUUGUUCUGUACCGUUCCCAAGAGACGUUCUAUCUCUCAUGACUUAUUAUAGGCAAAAAUAUGCAUAUAACUCCACUAAAUCCCAUUAGAUGUUUGAUAAAGUUGCUUCAUCUAUUGUACCUAAAGUUUUUGAAGAGUGAAUUUAUUUUUUUAAAAAUCCUAUAAAUAGUUUGGCUUAAACCAGAAUUCAGUGUAAUGAUUUAUAGUCAGCUAACUCCAGAUACAAAGCUAUUUAUUUAUAUCCUAAGAACAACAUAUUAAGCUGUAGUUUGUAGAAUGCACUCCCCUCAAUC